rnacentral:lncRNA from 1 species
AAAUUCAAUAACUGCUGUUAUUUAAUCUUUAACGUCAGCUUAUUGGGUCACGUGACGUGAUUUUAUUGGGUCACAUAUGACGUCAGAGACUAAAACCAACCGUGUUUAAUUUGUAAGGAUUGAAUCUGAACAAAAUAUUUAGCUGGACUAACCAAGUAAUUGGACUCAAAUAGUCAAUAAGCUCCUCUAGGACGAAUCAUUCAGGAAAACUCGAAUUUGAUUUUUGCUGGCAACAAUUUUUGGUCAGACUUUAUUUAUCCGAGUUCAAAAUAAUUUGCAAUAAUUGCAAAAACUAAAAUCAUAUUUAAACCUUCAUUUUUUUAUAUAUUAAAAUUGAACAAAAUUUACUUAGACUUCAAAUAAUUAAAAUUUGUAGGGACCAAAAAUAUAUUAACCCUAUAUAAUCUUUAGACAAUCUUGUGAUAGUUAUUUGACAUACUUGGUGGCAGAAUUCUGGAUACACAGUAGGAAUGGUAGGAGAUGGUAUCAAUGAUUCACCAGCACUAGUAGCAGCUGAUGUUGGAAUGGCAAUUGGUGCUGGAACAGACAUUGCUAUUGAAGCAGCUGACAUUGUUCUUAUGAAGAGUAACUUAGAGGAUAUAAUAAUUGCCAUUGACCUUGCAAAGAAAACUUUCUCACGUAUACGUCUAAAUUAUAUUUGGGCUUUAGGUUAUAAUAUUCUAGCCAUUCCUAUUGCUGCUGGCAUACUUUUUCCUUCUACUAAAUUUAGGUUACCACCUUGGAUUGCUGGAGCUGCAAUGGCUGCUUCUUCUAUCAGUGUUGUUUGCUCUUCUCUCUUGUUGAAGAAAUACAAGAAACCAACCAAGCUUAACAACUUGGAGAUGAAUGGUAUUCAAAUUGAAUGAUCAACUUGUCAUUUGUAAAUUUGUAAGUAUAAUAAUUAGUCUUGUUUGUUGGGAGCAACAUUUUGUUAUGUUGCAAUUGUAAUUUCAAUGUAAAUGAAAAAGUAGUUUUUUCUAUUAAAAAAAAAGUAAUUAGUUUUAGUAAAACAAGAUGUUUAAUUUCAAUAUUGAUCUUGAAUACGAAGAAUAUUGGAUUUUUUUUUUUUAAGAAAAGAUGUUUAUAGUAUUUCUUAUAGUAAGUUGUUCAACAAAUGUAGAUACAUCAAUGUAAAUAUGAAAAUUUGCUAGAGAUCUGGUCAUCCGCGGUGAAACAUGAACGGUUUCAUUUGUUUGUCUAUAGUAAACUUAAUAGGAGAGUUUUUCAAAUGGGAGAAGAAAAAACGAUCACACUUAUUAUUAAUGUCUUCAAAUUCAGCAAUGUCGUUCUUAUCACUAUUAAGAUCAACCACUUUUUUGGCUUAGUGUAAAGUCCAAUGGUCUCAGAUGCAAUUCAAGAACCCAAGUGAUUGCAUGUAGAAGGCCAAGGCUUCCCUUAUAUCUACACUACGUAUAGGCGAAAUCCAAACUGUUUUUGUGGGAACAAAUUGGUCAUCUACAUCACGAAUGCAAAUGUCAAUCCCAAAUUGAUUUUGAUGUGAAGAGAAUGACACGUCAAUGUUGCAUUUGUAGCACCCCGUUGUUGGUUUCAUCCAAUUUGUAUCAACUAUAAUGAGGGAUACGUGAAGUUAUAUCAUAAUCUUAGAAAAUAUACAUUCAACCAAUAGUAAUCAUUGAAUGAAUAGUUAACAAAGUCUAAACUUUGAUUUAGAAUUCUUUCAAACUAAUAGAAUAGUCUAAACUAAUGUGCGGCCUAUGUGGUUUCGUAAUUUAUUUUUGAUAAACGCGGAAAUACGUAUUAUUGUGUUGAGGAUUUUGAAAUCAUCUUUUAUCAUACAUGCCAAAUCAUUUUCUCCUUAGAUGAUCUUUUAGUUUCCUUGUGUCGAUUACCCCUAUGAAUCUUGCAAAGUUGAACGAUUUUCCUUCCUUGUUUCGCUUCUUUGGCAUGAACACGUCAACCAAAGCUCCAUAUUGUUGGAAGGGUUACAUAAUAUCCUACAAGUAUCCUCGAGAACAUUGGUGAAAUAACACGUGGUGAUGUCAUCGUAUCAGUUAAUUUUGUUAUAUGUCUCUCUCUUCCUCCCUCCCUCCCUCAUCAUAGAUACAUAUCUAGAAUAUGCAUCUAGGAUAUAUGGGAGAAAUUAGAGACUGAAUAAGCCAACAUUAAAUCAGACUUAUGUUGAGUUCUUUUAAAAACUUUUGCGUUGAUAUCCAAGCUUUGUCUUUUAUAAAAUUGUGUAUCAACUUCGUAGCAGUAGUACCAAAGUUAGCGCGUAACCGUAUACACCACAAAAUCCAUAAGUUAAUUAAUUAUUUUAAACUUUUUGGCAUCUCGUGCUUUCCGGGAAUCGCAAGUCAUCAUAAGUUAAUUAAUUAACGGGUCAUUUCAAUUUGUAUCCUAAGAUCCAAAAAUAAAAGUUUUACGUUUAAAAAAAACAAAUAUUUUUUUAGAGGCUCUUAUCAAUAAGAUCAAAAAAUUAACGGGUUAUUUCAAUUUGUUAUUCAUUUGAUACGAAUCUUUUUAAAUAAAGGCAUGUAGCCUCUUCAUUUUUAAAUACAUGUCACUGUCAAUUUUUAUACAAUGUCAAUAUACAAUUUUGAUCAAUAAUAGAUUUAUUUAUUUAUAAUUCUUUUUUAUAUUUGAAGAUAUUCAUCGAAAAAAUAAAACAACAUUUUAUAUGCUAACAUUUAUAUUUUUAUAUUAGUUAAAAAUAUUGUUAAAGCAAAUUUCCUGGAUAAUAUACUUUAUAAAAAUGCGACGUAUCUUUGGAAAUGAAUGAAAUAUCACUAAAGUACAUUGACAUAUUCCUUCGUUAAUAACUUAUAUACGUCAAUUCUACCAAAAAAAAAAAAACUUAUAUACGUCAAUUAUCAUGUCGUGAGGUAGUUUUCCUCACAUUAUUAUACUAACAAAUACUCCAUUAAUUUUAAAAUGAAUGAAAGAAUAUUUAUUUUGCCUAAUUAUUGAUGUCUUUUAAUUUCACUAUCAUAAUUUAAAAGUUAAAUAUGUUUUUAAUCCUUACAAAAUUACAAAUUUUCAAGUUUAGUUUAUAUAUUAUUUUAAUAUUACUUUAUAAUAUUGUAGUUGUAAGUACCUUAUUUUAAUUUAUUUAUUUUUAAUAAAAAAUAGAUACUUUUAGUCUUCCAAAAUAGUCUUUAUAAAAUAUAAAUAAGACUAAAAAUAAAUAUUUUUUUUUUCAAAACUAAACUUAAAAACUUACAAUUUUAAUUUGCAAGAACCUAUUUAACUCUAAAUUUAAACUAGAAGUCAUAUUUUGGUUUUAGCAGCAAAAGAAAUAAGUAAUAUUUGGGAGUUCUGAACAUAGAUGGUACAAUUGAAAAGAAUUAAUACUGUAUCGAAAAUAAUUAGCCUUAUUCAUUUUAAAAUAACUUUUUUGUUAAAAAGAAUAUAGAUAUGGAAAAUUCUAUGGUGAAAUUAUGAGAAUGACUUUUCUGGUGAAGUCAACACUAUAGUAUUAAAAGUGUAGUGAGUAGCACCCCACUGUUUAUAAAGUUCAGUCUUCAUAGUAUCAUCAAUUCAUCAGAUUAACAAGACUGCACUUAAUCUAAUUUUAUCAUACCUUGUUUUAAGGGUAACAUUCCAAAAAGUGUAACACUUAAGACUAUCGCAUAAUAUCAUCAACUAUGUUUGCAUGUUAAAGAUGUCAACGAUAAAAUAGUACAUGUAAGUCCAAGAUGUUGCAAGCAUUACUAGAUGAAUUACUAUUGAUCAUUAAUCAGCAAUCAAAUUUAAAAAUGAAUCGAAUAGUAAGAUCAAAAUUAACUUUUUCAAAAAAGUCAGUUUUCUGACUGCACUGUAGAAGCUCCCGAUAGAUAUAUCUUUUUGCAAGGUAUAAAGAUAAGUUUUUUAAAAUAAAAAAAAAAUAAGCUAAAUGUUGAUAAAUAUCUUUAGGGCAUUGGUUAAACAUCUAAAAAUAGUAAUUUAACAUUAAAAGUUAUAUAGUUAUGAUUUGUCCACAUUAAAAGAUAUAUUAUAAAAAUAUAUAUAUUGUUUUCAUUAUGUUUUCAAGACAAAAAUUCCCUUCGUAAGCUCCUUAAAUUAACAAUACCUUUAAAAAAAGUUUUUUUCUUUUUUUUGGAAGAAACCUUUAAGACUAUUGUUAGCAAGCCCGUAACCACUAAUAUUAAGAUUAACAAAGAUAUAAUAUCCAUUGAGCAACCACCUCCAACACGCGUAGUUUUCGUCUGAUAACCACAAAGGAAGGUGCUAAGAAAUUAAGUGGCAGUGGCAAUUCACAACGAAACUUCAUAAACCUCUCUAUAUAAGAUACGCUAUAUACCCACUCUCUUUCCCCCUCUCUCCCUCUGGGGUUUCAAAUAUGAACUUUGAAGAUUCAUAAUCACAAAGUUUUAUAUAUAGUACCUAUAAACUUUGAAUUCUAGAUCCUAGUUACAACAACCUAGACUUUCUCGACCUAGUUAUUAUACAUAGGUGACACUCACACAACAGAACUAGAUGCUAUUACAUCACAACUUCCACAAAACAUUCAAACAAGUUCAACAUGACCAUACAUCGUUGCAGUUUCUUAGGUCAACUCUCAAAGAUUUUUCUCCACUUGUUGAAGAUAUCAACCAAUAAAAUGAACAUUUAACUCAACUCAUUCGGGUGGUGUAUGCCCCUAGAGAUCUUUGCCUGUUGUAUCCAUUCUCGAAACGAGAAUGUAUAGAACGAUGGGUUGGUGUAUCCCUGCGUUGAAGCCAAACAUAUUGAAGGCCUGUUUAACCACUUGGUUGACGUUGUGGUCAACCUAAUUGGUUGCAAUAUUUCAACACAACGUUGCUAUUGUGGUGGUUGGUAAAGUUUACACCAUUGCAUUGGUUAUGGGCCAAAACAUUAACGUCGUGUCCCUUGUGAUUGUCGUUCGGCCUCUGAUUCAAAUGAACGAGGACAUGUUCGUCAAUCCUUAGGAUUUCGUUAUGAAAUUAAGGCUGCUGAACUUCACCUUGUUCCAGCAUACCAACACCCAUGAAUUGGUUUAAUGUAGCCAUUUGGUUGGCCAUAGCCAUAGAAGCAUGGUUUGUAUUCUUGAUCAACUAUGUGAUAACUGCCCCAUCUGUUGAGUGAAAUGUUCACCUUCUGAUGGUUGCUAUUUGUCCAUCUGUUGUCAAACAAUCGUCAUCGAAUCUUAUGUCAAUCUGACAUGAUUCUAUGGUAUAUUUGAAAAACCUAGGCCAAGUUACCCUGGCCAUAUGACAUGUCUGCCAACGAGUUAAUAAGACUCGGCAACAUUAAUUCUAAUGGUAGGCCUAAUAGGUCAGCAACUACUGGGCGUGACUACAUGAAAGUUAUGUCUGUGUCGCACCAUCUCCUACGUUAAAGCCUUACUAACAUCGUGCAUAAACUGAAAAUGUGCCUAUCAAACUGCAUAUCGUCCGCGUUGAAAGAAUCCACCUUGUCAGACGAAGGCGGUGGAUGAUGAGUCAACCGACGACAUGGGUAUCAACAUUGUCAAGUGUGACUACUAACAAGUCAGUUAUGGUAUUAGAAAUUCCAACACUUUGCGUAUUAAACUUUUUUUUUUUUAUUAGUUUUAGAGUUGUUAGAAGGUUCACAAGGUUUCUUAAACUUCUUAUAGGCAUGCAAACUUAUAAUAAUUGUCGAAAACAAUAUUUAAAAUACAUGUAGGUUACUUCAAACUUGUUCCACUACGUGUGCGUUUACAAAUAUUUUUUAUCUAAGGAAAAUCAACCAAAUUCAAAGCACAAAUAAAUCUAUAAUCACUGUGAUUAAGGGAGUCUAACAAGUUAUUAGGCGUAUACUAACACGUUUAAAGGUUGAUUUUGAAAAAUGUUGUUCAAUUGGAUUUAAGUUUUGUGUUCGAAAUUGUUUAAAAACGGUUUAACGGUUUAAAGUUAACUGCUGAUGAAGUAAAAGAUUUGAAGUGAAAAUGACAAUUAAAUUAAAAGAGUGUGAAAGCAAAAAGCUUUUAAGUUACAAGACUGGACUGUAAAUAGCGUGAAAAUUAUAAGUGUUGAGUUUGAACUUACUUGAAAUAUAAAGUGCGAGAAAAGCAAGAGGAAUUGAAAGACAAUGUUUUGAAGAUAAAUUUGUGGAAAUUGUAGAGUAUUUUGAAUUGAAAUAACAAGAACUUUAAAAAAUUUAAUAGAUGGUGAAAGGUAUGCUUAAAGUUCUGAAAUACUUGAGUUAGUUACGUGUAGAUUUUAAAAAAUUAACUAUAUGACCAUUUGUCUUUGUGAGAACUCAUAUUUAUAGGAAAAAAAACCAUUUGUUAUUUGUUGAGCUAUUCUUAACAAAUCAUGUCUUGUACGUCGACACACACUCCAAAUUUCGUUAUUAAUCGGUUGAUAAUCCACCUAAUUGAAGUCAUGAUAUAAGAUGUACUUAAAAUGUCACUUUCUCCAUGAUGUGCACUAAUAGUAUGAAUGCGUUGAGACUCGUCACUUUACUCAAACGUCUCUUGUAAUCCUGUUAAAAAAUUUGAAUUUAUGUUGACCCGCAAUCCUCUUACACAAAACUCGCAAUCCUCUUAGACAAAACUGAAAUUUCGCUAAGAACAUUAUUAUUGAUUGUCGCUCUAAAAUAUUUCAAAGGCUACGGGAUUACCAAACUACGCUUUCCUACCAAAGAAAUAAACAAAAAGCCUCGAGGACAAUCAAAGAUUAAGAUUUUGUAAUCUGAUAUCUGGAAUUUAAGAUUUCAAAUUGAUGAAGAUGCAGUUAAUAGAUUGGUACUUUGCUGAGGAAAAUAGAUUGGAAGGGAAAAGAAGUCUGUCCUAUAUCCUGGUCGAUGUUUGUCAGUUUGGCCUGAUUCAAAAGACACCAUUAGGAAUUUUCAAUUCCAGAUAUCAUGUUAUAAAAUUUUUGUGACUUCAGAGGUUAAAAAAUAAAACAUAGUUCAUAAUCAUAUCAUGCCUCUCAAAAAACUGUUCAUAUCAUUAUAAUCAGUUAUUUCAAAAAAAUCAUUAUAAUCAGUUGAAGAAAAAAAAAAACAUAACAAUUCGUAUAUUCCCAACCUUACAAAUAUAUUGUCCGAAAGAUUGCACAUGAUAUUGGCAACUCAGAAUUAAUUGUUUUGCCGAACAACUUUUCAUCAAAUUCACAUAAAAAAAUUGCACAUGAUUGGACCCUUUAAAGCAAUAUUACGAUAUGUUACUUGUUAGUUUGGUGCCAUUGAUAAACUUUUGAUUUUGAUUAAAUACAUGUUGUGGACCUUGUGAGUUAAUGCUCUUAGAGGAAGACCGUUGGAGCACAUUUGCAAGUGCUUUUAUAAUUUUUCAAUCUGCCCCUAUAUUCUUAGAGGUCCCCCAAUAUUCUUAGCAGUGUGCAUUUCAGCUAAAAUACAUUACCAUAAGUCUGCAUGUCCCAUAUUAUUUAGGGGAAAUGCUAGUGUUCCCCACAAAUUAUACCCCGAGAGAUCACGAUGUUAGUUAAUUAAUACCCCACCUCCACCUCUUCAAUCUUUAGCCAUCCAUGUUUUCCAAUUAAACCAAGAUCUAACGGUUUGAAUUAUUCUUAUACUUUCGUUGUGAAUAGCAUAUAUAGCUCUUUAUUUAGCGAAAAUGUCAACUUGAGUGUGAACGUUGAUUUCUCCAUUUAUGUGUGAGUUUCCAAUAACAAUUGUUAUUUGGUUUAUCUAAAAAAAAAAAAAGUUAUCGUAAAGACUCUUUCAAUAGCUACCAAGGGAUGGAUUAAAAAAUUAUUAUUAUUUUUUUUUUGCAAAGGUGAGGAUGGGCAAAGGUUAUUUCAACAAAUAUGGUUGGAUAAAACAAAAUUGGGAGUAAAGAACGGGACAAAAGUUUAAAUUAUCAGUUAUCCAUGAAACAUUGCAAGGAAAUACCAAGGAGUGUUCAAUGACUAAAGGGUUGAAGUUAGCAAGAUCUAGCUUUAUACAUGUCAAAAAUAUCAAAUAUUUUAAAAAUUAUUGUUAACGAGUGUUUUCAUAUAUUCUUUAAGCAUUUUAAAAGAAGAAAUUAUUUCAUAAAAAAAAGUUAAAUAUUUCAAUUUUAUUUACAUGGUUACAUAAAUUUUAAAAAAAGUUAGCAUUUAAAUAUCUUAAUUAAAAAUGCCCAGGACACUUGUUUUUCUUUGUUCUUUCACAACCCUAAACUAAACCCUCGUACAAGCUGUUCAUUAGACAAAUUUACAUAAGUUUGCUCUCCAAUACCCGGUCUUUGGCAUUGAUAAUAAAAUUUCCACUAAAGUCAAAGCGUAGAAUCAUGACAAGAACUUGUUGUGCAUUCAUAUACUACUACUUGUAUUUUGUUUUCCUUGAAACAUCAUAUAUCAGCACAAAUUCCUCGCAACUUCUUCAUAUUUAUAUAUAUAUUCCACACACACCAACCACAUAUUUCCCAUCUAUCUAUCUACUUGUUCACAAAUAUUAAAUAUCUUAUCUUAUUCUUAUUUCAAACCCAUAAAUUGCGGUGUAAUUUCCUUUACCCUACCAACACGUUACAACAAAUAAUAAUAAUAUUAAAACUAAUACUACCCGUUGAGUUGAUCAACUCCCAACACACGUUAAUGAUAACCACAAAGGUAGAUGAUGCAAGGAAAUUCAGCAUCUAGCUGCAAGUAACACCGAAACUUCAUAAAUAUAAGACUACAUAUACCUCUCCCCGGUUCUGAAAUUUGAAAUAAUAAUCUUCACCAUCUUACCUACAAAAUAAAAAUAUCUUUACCAUCAUUUCAUUUCAAUAUUUUACUAAUGGGACACAACAUAGAACUAGAUGCUAUUUCAUCACCACAGCUUCAACAAAAGAAUCUUUGUUGCAGCAAGUUUUUUUGUUGGUUUCACCUUUGUGUAUCUGGAUUUUUGCAUAAGAAGAAUUUUGGUUCUGAUUCUCAUGCUGUUGCUCAUGACAAGCCAAAAACAUUUUAUGAGUUCAAAGAAAUUCUUUUUUUUGAUAAGAAAAUAAGUGGAUAUGGAGUAUCCAUUUUUAAGGGUCCUUUUGGUGUUCCUGAAAAUCCUGAAUUUACUGUUGGUUUGGAUUCGCAAUUGAUUAAGCCGAAGAUGGAACUUCUCAGGGAUGGUAGAUCUACUCUUUUGUUGACUGGUUUAGGUGGAAUGGGAAAAACCACUUUGGCUACAAAGCUGUGUUUGGAUCAACAAGUUAAGGGUAAGUCAUAAUCCCUUUUAUUUAGGAAUUUUUCAUGUUCUUAUGCUAUUAUGCUUAUUAUAAAGAUUUGUUUAGUUAUAGUUAUCUAGAAAAGAUUGUUGAAAUUUGCUAACAUUGAAGAAUUUUCAGUUAUUAUCCUGUUUUGAAAGGCAUAUCAUAUAAGUGUUUAUGCAGAAGCUAAUUGUAUUAAAAAAAAGUUAAAAUAAACUCAAACUGUUUCUAUAUAAGUUAUAAGUUGUUUACAUAAGCCAUAUUGCAGAGUUUAUAAAGAUAAGCUGAAAACAACUUCAGCUUAUAGUCAUGUUUUCAAUAAGUUCUCCCAAAUAGUCGGUCACAAGUGCUUAUGCCAAACAUGGGCUGUUUUUGAUAAAUUUAUCAUAAAAUUUUGUUGUUGUUGUGAAAUUAAUACCGGUACACAAUCAUAUGUAUGCAUUAUUGUAGGAGAUAUGAAAUAUUAUGGGCUUAUUGUUUUCUUUUGAUUCUUUAGGCAAAUUCAAGGAAAACAUUAUAUUUGUAACCUUCUCAAAAACACCCAUGUUGAAGAUUAUGGUACAGAGACUAUUUGAACAUGGUGGAUAUCCGGUGCCUGAGUAUCAAAGUGACGAAGAAGCAGUUAAUGGAAUGGGAAAUUUACUGAGGAAAAUUGAGGGAAGUCCAAUAUUGUUAGUCCUGGAUGAUGUUUGGCCCGGCUCAGAAGACCUAGUCGAGAAAUUUAAAUUCCAGAUAUCAGAUUAUAAAAUUUUGGUCACUUCAAGGGUUGCAUUUUCUAGAUUUGACAAAACCUUUAUCGUAAAUCCUCUUGUUCACGAAGAUUCGGUGACCCUUUUCCGUCACUACACACAGUUGGGAAAAAACAAUUCAAAAAUUCCCGACAAAGAUCUUAUCCAAAAGGUGCUUGUUCUUCUUGUACUGACACCAUUUGAGCACCAAUGUUAUAUAAUCUGCUGAUUGCUGACUAUAUUUGUGUGCUUUGAAAUACAGAUUGUGGAAAAUUGCAAAGGUUUACCUCUUGCCAUUAAAGUGAUUGCAACAUCACUCACUAAUCGUUCAUAUGACUUGUGGGAAAAGAUUGUGAAGGAACUUUCUCAAGGUCGUUCUAUACUUGAUUCUAGUACUGAAUUACUUACUCGCCUCCGAAAGGUCUUGGAUGUUUUGGAAGAUAAUGCUAUUAACAAGGAGUGCUUCAUGGACCUUGCAUUAUUCCCUGAAGACCUGAGAAUUCCCGUUUCUGCUCUCAUUGAUAUGUGGGCGGAGUUGUAUAAACUAGAUGAUGAAGGCAUAGAAGCAAUGGCCAUCAUCAACAAAUUAGACUCUAUGAAUCUGGCUAAGGUCUCAAUAGCAAGGUAUAAUAUAACGACUACCAAAUAUAUCUAACAUGAAUUAUAUGGGGCAGAAAAUUUAAUAGCUCGAAGAGCUAUUCUAAGAAGCAUUGGAUUCCUAAAUUAACGUUAUAAACAGACCAUUUGUCUUGGAUUGAAUUUAAACUUUUCACAAAUUGUAACUUUGCAAUUUGCAUUGAUAAUUUUUAAUUCCAAGGGAAGAAGUCAAUAAUUGUAAUUAAACUAUCAAAUACAGAACAAGCUUUUUUAUCUAGUGUUUAGAGUUUUCUCUUCAAGGAAUACUAACUUUUGUUUGUUUCUCAGGAAAAAUGCAAGUGACACAGAAAGUUACUACUACAAUAGCCACUUCAUAUUCCUUCAUGAUCUUCUAAGAGAGCUAGGAAAUUAUCAAAACAACCAGGAACCAAUUGAACAAAGAAAAAGACUUCUUAUUGAUGCAAAUGAAAACACACAUGACCGGUGGCUUAUGGAGAAGCAGCAGGGCACAAUGACCCGCAUAUUGUCCAAUUUUUUUAAAUUGUGUGUUAAACCGAAGCCUCAACAGGUCCCUGCUCGCACAGUGUCUAUAUCAACUGGUUAGUUAUACUUUCACCUUUCUCUAAAUGUAUUCACUAACUUGCAAGUUAAAAAUAACAUCAACUCUAAAUAUAUCCACAAUUGAUUCCAUGUGUUGCGUUUUCAGAUGAAACUUGUGCUUCUUCAGAUUGGUCCCAAGUGCAGCCAGCUCAUGUUGAGGUUCUGAUUUUAAUUCUUCAAACCGAACAGUACACACUUCCAGAAUUGAAGGAGAAAAUGAGCAAACUAAGAGCUCUUAUAGUCAUAAAUCAUGGUUUACGCCCUUCUGUACUGAACAAUUUUGAGCUAAUUAGCUCUUUAUCCAACCUGAAAAGAAUCAGGCUAGAGCGGAUUUCUGUUCCUUCCUUUGGCACAAUGAAGAAUCUCAAAAAAUUAUCCCUCUACAUGUGUAAUACAAGACUAGCUUUUGAAAAGGGUAGCAUCCUAAUUUCAGAUUUGUUUCCUAAUUUAGAAGAUUUGAGCAUUGAUUAUUCCAAGGAUAUGGUGGCAUUGCCUAAUGGGGUGUGUGACAUUGCCUCAUUAAAAAAGCUCAGUAUUACUAAUUGCCAUAAGCUUUCUUCGCUGCCCCAAGAUAUUGGAAAGUUGAUGAAUUUGGAACUCUUGAGCCUGAUCUCAUGCACUGAUUUGGUAGAGUUGCCAGAUUCUAUUGGAAGGCUUUUAAAUCUAAGACUACUUGACAUCUCCAACUGCAUAAGCCUUUCAAGUUUACCUGAGGACUUCGGCAAUCUGUGUAAUCUAAGAAAUCUAUACAUGUCUAGUUGUACAAGUUGUGAAUUGCCAUUUUCAGUUGUCAAUCUUGCGAAUUUAAAGGUGAUAUGUGAUGAAGAGACGGCUGCUUCAUGGGAAUCUUUCCAAUCUAUGAUUUCCAAUCUCACUAUAGAGGUUCCUCAAGUUGAAGUCAACUUAAAUUGGCUUCAUGCAGGUCGCUCCUAAAAUUUGCAUGCGCUCUUCCUCUGCCUUUGCUAAUCUUUGUGGCAGUGUUCUUCAAAUGAAUGAAUACUUAUCAUGGGUAAUAGAGGUGGUUGUUGGUACCUCAGAAAUGGCUCCCAACGGAGGGGCUGAGUGGAUGCUAGCUCUUAGGUACAGCUCACAUCAACCAUCCGAACUGCUUCAUCAGGUGGUGACCUCUGGCCUUUCAACACUUGGGGGCUAGACAUUCUUUGGCCUUUCCACCUGCACCAGGUUUGUUAAUUCAUCAACCAUUCUUUGGUGAAUCAUCCACAAGCAAAUAAACAGGUUGGAUCAACUAACAAAAUCAUUUUCAAUGAAUGAAGAAAAUGAUUGGAUCAAGCAAAAGCAGAAUAGACAGAGGAGCUAAUAAGAGUAUUGUAGACAAAUCACAUUACACCCCAGUCAUCAACACAUAAAACACCUUUCAAACUUGUCUACAUAUUUCAUGCAAUGGUAUCAGUAUAACUCACAUCAGCUUCAAUCUGUGCGAAUUUAAUAAAUGAGUCCGCAUCGAGAUCAAACAGGAGAAUAGAUCUUGACUUACUCUACGAAGUCAGGGAACUAGUGUACAUAACUAAGUAUGUUUCAAAACUUAGGACUGCAAAUAGGUAUAACAGCAAAGUUAAAUCUAGAAAUUUCAAGGAAGGAGAUUAGUCUUACGGAAGACCGAGAAGGUAACGAAUAAAAAACACGGAAAGCUAGCGGCUAGUUGGAAAGGACCAUAUGGAUCAGCUCCGCUCUGUGCAAAAGAGCAUACAAGCUAGAAGGCCGAGCUAGAAACAUUUAUCUGAGAUUGUGGAAUGCCACACACCUCAAACUCUAUUUAUUUAGAUUUCUUGUAAUAUGAUGUACUCUUUUUCCUGCUUGGACCUUUUUUCUCGAAAAAGUUUUUGGUUCUUGGAGGUUUUAACUAGCACAUCUUUUUUUUUCCAUUUCAUUAUCAAUAAAGUCUUUGUUCAUUAUACUAUGAUCUCCAUUAAAAGAAAACACAUAAGCCUGAUGUGUUUCCGUCAAUGAGUCAAUUCAAUAUAUAAUAUAAGCUUGAACAGGCAAAUACAGUAUUUCUUUUAUUUAUCUCAGUAUAAAUAGCCUUACAACACAUGAACUUUACAUAGAAGAUUGCAUAAAAAGGAAUAUACAUGUACAAUUACAAGUCUUAUAUCAUCUAGGUGAAGAUGCAACAUCCAACAGGACAAACCCAUAUCCUACCCCAUGUACCAUCUCAGGAGUAAAAGAUGAGGCACAGUUUCACGUCAGCAAUCUGGUAUUAAUGUAAGGGAGGAACUCCUUUACAACUAGAAAAUGUAGUAUUCAAAUUUUCUUGAAAAUCAAUCAACCAAGGAGGCUCUCUUUUGGUAAACCAUAUUGUUCUCACAAAUCAGGGCAUAAAUGUUCACUGUUGGUCAAUAUAUUGGUUCUUAAACUCACCAUCAACGAGUGAUAAAAACAGUAUGUUUGACCAAUAACGAACAACCUCAGCCGAAUUUAAUAUACACGUCUCAAACUUUUGAAGAAUUAAAAUUUGGAGAAUGUUUCAAAGCUAGCGAGGGAAACAGAAAAUUGAUUCAUAGCAAAGGAAACAACUAUUUUAUAAGCCAAAACCAAAACAUAAAAGUUAAUGAAAAACAGUGUCUUCUUAAGGUUCUCGACCUUGUCCUUCAAAAACAACUUACUCGACUUUAACCUUUUCAUCUCGUAUUCCAAUAUUUUGAUCUCCCAUGUCAGACCUUCAAAUUUGACACCAACAUCUUCAAACACUUUUUCAACUUCCUUCCUUGACUUCUUCUCAUCCUCCAAAAGUUUUUCAAUUUCUUACUUGUCUUACAAGCAACAAUCAUUUUUCUUUUCGGCCAGCUUGUGCAACCUUUUUUGAAGGUUAUCUUUGCCAUUCCUCGCCAUGUCUAACCUAUACUCUCUCGCAUAGAUAUUUUAUUGUUAUUGUUGGGCAGCACAUAGAGCACGAAGGAGGUAAGAUGUGGAAACCACACACAGACAUUUUUUAGCCGAAAACUUUGUACAGUAUGUUGAUAAGACGCGACAGGGUGAUCUGCAACAGGACAGUUGAGUAAACCCCAUGUUACUGGCAGCUGCAAGCAUGACAUUCUUUGAAGAACACGACCAAUUGUUACCGGCAUUUGUUACCGAGGGGAAUUAUUUGGAAGCGGUUCCUCUAACGUUUUUGUGGGAACUCACAUUUGAGGGACAUAAUUUCUCCCUCUAUAUCAAUCAUUUAGAAAAUGAAUCCCAUUGAGAAAACACAGCCAACCUCAGCUGAAUUUAGCUUCCAUCAACAGCGGGUUAAUUAUGGACCAAAUUUAAAUGAGACGGGUCAACCUGCAUUGCCAUCUGUAUUUGAAAUUAGGGGUGUUCGUGGUGCAAUUUCAAUCGGUUUUGAGACAAAAACUCAUCUGAUCCAAAGUUAAAUUACCUGCGGUUCAGUUUUUGACGACUCGUUUAAAAAAUUGGAUCUGAAUUGAUCCAAUUUAAUGCAUAUUAUUUUGGAUUGGUUCUUGAAUAUGCAAAUUACAAAUUGUAAAUAAUAAGUUUGAUGCAAAAUAUAACACAUAAUAUGUUGAUGAAAAUUUUCGAUUAUAUUUCAAACAUAGAAAAUAGUAAAAAGUAUAAUAAAUUAAAUUGGGAUAUAGGUGGAAGAUUGGAGAUGGCUCCCAGAUCAAAGUUUGGUCCACAUCAUGGAUUCAUUCACUUUCUACUCUUCGACCCUCAACAACGCCACCUCCACAUCUGGAACAUUUAUUGGUUCGUGAUUUAAUAAAUCCUGAUUUGCAUACUUGGAAUAGUUCGCUCAUUAGUAACAUCUUUUCCAUCUCAGAAGCUUCGGUCAUUUGCAGACUGCCACUCCAUACGUGUAACCUGCAUGAUACUCGAGUUUGGCAAAUCGGCUUAUAACUUAUGCAUGUCUCUGAAAACUGACGCUAAUGUUUCCCCCACUGCAGCUGCGCAUAAUUGGAACAUUAUUUGGAUACAACAUGUGCCUCCUAGAGUAUGUUCCCUGUUAUGGAGAAUGGCUCAUUGUUGCCUUCCAACCCGCACUCGCUUGAUCCAGAAAGGUUUAUCUAUUGACGAUACUUGUGUUCAUUGCGAUGUCCUGGAUGAAUCCCACAUCUAGUCAUUCUUUGUGUGCCCAAAAGCAAUCAAUUGUUUGAACAAGUCCAAUUGGAUGGUAUUGUGCGAGAGUUACCACGUGAUGCUAUUGAUUUCAGAUCUCUUCUUUUUUAUUUCUUUAGCAGGUUACAAACACAUACCCAGGCAACAACAUCUAUUAUUCUAUGGAGUUUGUGGAAAAAUAGAAACUCUAAAUUAUGGCAAGCAGGGACACACCCUCCUCAUCAUUGAUCGUUCAGCGAGCGCAUAAUUCCCUUCAUGAAUGACCCUGUUUACAAAGAGCAAGACAAUCUAACCAAAAUAUUUCAGUUUAAAAUACAAUGUAGAUUGUGCCCUCUUCAACAACAAUACCAUCACAUGGCUCGUCAUCUGCUAUCGAGACUCUUCAGGGGCAUUACAUUAUGGAUCAUCUAACUACUCUUUAUAUACUUCUUCCCCUUCAGAAGCCGAGGCUCUAAGCCUUAACCUUCGCUGACAAUCAAGGCAUUGAGUCUGUCAUAUUUGAGUCUGAUUGUAAGCUAGUUCUUUUAUUCUAUUUGGCAAGUAUUUGGAAGUGUUGGCUAAAGGGAAAACAUCACAAGCUAUUGCGAAACUCAUGGAUUUAACACCUGAUACAGCAACCUUACUAACUCUUGAUGAUGAUAAGGGAAAUGUUAUAGGUGAAAGAGAAAUUGAUAGCAGGUUGAUACAGAAGAAUGAUGUGAUCAAAGUUGUGCCGGGCGCGAAAGUAGCAUCAGAUGGUUUUGUUGUUUGGGGACAAAGUCAUGUAAAUGAGAGUAUGAUAACUGGUGAGGCAAAGCCUGUUGCUAAGAUGAAGGGUGAUAUGGUGAUUGGUGGUACUGUGAAUGAAAAUGGUGUUUUGCAUGUUAAGGUAGCAAGGGUUGGAUCAGAAACUGCACUUUCCCAGAUUGUUAGACUUGUUGAGUCUGCUCAGAUGGCUAAAGCUCCUGUCCAGAAAUAUGCUGACCAGAUUUCUAAAUACUUUGUUCCUAUAGUAAGUGUAAAUUACUAAUACUAACUAGCUCCGUGAUUUUUACGAAAACUAAACUACUGAGCUUCAACAAAAUCACGGUGUCAAUACAAUUUUGUCAAAUUCACCGUGAUUUCAAACAUGUAUUAUGUGUUUAAACAUUUAAGUCAAAUAAUAGAAUUGUAUUUUACAUAUACUUACUGGUGCCUGUUUUUGUAGGUGAUUGUGUUAUCUCUUUCAACAUGGAUAUCAUGGUUUGUAGCUGGAAAAUUGCAUUCAUACCCAAAAUCAUGGAUACCAUCUUCUAUGAAUAAUUUCGAGCUUGCACUUCAGUUUGGAAUUUCAGUCAUGGUCAUAGCUUGUCCUUGUGCUCUAGGCCUCUACUCCUACAGCGGUCAUGGUUGGUACUGGAGUUGGUGCAACUCAAGGUGUGUUGAUCAAAGGUGGCCAAGCAUUAGAAAGUGCACACAAGGUGAAGGCAAUUGUUCAAAACAAGGAAAUAAUGGUUGGAAAUAAAAAACUGAUGUUAGAUCAUAACAUAGCUAUUUCAGUGGAAGCUGAAGAAAUACUAGCAGAAGCUGAAAACAUGGCUCAAACAGGAAUUUUGGUAUCAUUGGAUGGAGAAAUUGUUGGAGUUUUGGCUGUGUCUGAUCCACUGAAACCUGAUGCAAAAGAAGUUAUUUCUAUUCUUAAAUCCAUGAAAAUAAAGAGCAUAAUGGUGACAGGUGAUAAUUGGGGAACUGCAAAUUCUAUAGCUAGACAAGCUGGUAUUGAAACUGUCAUGGCAGAGGCUCAACCUGAAACUAAAGCUAUUAAAGUAAAAGAAUUGCAGGUACACACAAAAUUAUGGUCCCCAAUUACCAAAUUAUUGCUUCACUCCUUUAGGGUUUCCUCUCAUGGUUUUAAUACUUUGUUCAUUGUAGGACAUUUAUUCAAUUAUUAUAGUGUUUAUUGGUUUUAAUCUCUAAAAAAUUUUAUUUGGAUUGAGUCCGUGCAAAUUCAAUAACUGCUGUUUUUUAGUCUUUAACGUCAGCUUAUUGGGUCACAUAUGACGUCAGAGACUAAAACCAAUCGUGUUUAAUUUGUAAGGAUUGAAUCUGAACAAAAUAUUUAGCGGGACUAACCAAGUAAUUUGACUCAAAUAGUCAAUAAGCUCCUCUAGGACGAAUCAUUCAGGAAAACUCGAAUUUGAUUUUUGCUGGCAACAAUUUUUGGUCAGACUUUAUUUAUCCGAGUUCAAAAUAAUUUGCAAUAAUUGCAAAAACUAAAAUCAUAUUUAACCUUCAUUUUUUUUAUAUAUUAAAAUUGAACAAAAUUUACUUAGACUUCAAAUAAUUAAAAUUUGUAGGGACCAAAAAUAUAUUAACCCUAUAUAAUCUUUAGACAAUCAUGUGAUAGUUAUUUGACAUACUUGGUGGCAGAAUUCUGGAUACACAGUAGGAAUGGUAGGAGAUGGUAUAAAUGAUUCACCAGCACUAGUAGCAGCUGAUGUUGGAAUGGCAAUUGGUGCUGGAACAGACAUUGCUAUUGAAGCAGCUGACAUUGUUCUUAUGAAGAGUAACUUAGAGGAUAUAAUAAUUGCCAUUGACCUUGCAAAGAAAACUUUCUCACGUAUACGUCUAAAUUAUAUUUGGGCUUUAGGUUAUAAUAUUCUAGCCAUUCCUAUUGCUGCUGGCAUACUUUUUCCUUCUACUAAAUUUAGGUUACCAC